rnacentral:rRNA from 1 species
GAUGAACGCUGGCGGCGUGCCUAACACAUGCAAGUCGAGCGAUCUUCUUCGGAAGAGAGCGGCGGACGGGUGAGUAACGCGUGGGUAACCUGCCCUGUACACACGGAUAACAUACCGAAAGGUAUGCUAAUACGAGAUAAUAUACUUUUAUCGCAUGGUAGAAGUAUCAAAGCUCCGGCGGUACAGGAUGGACCCGCGUCUGAUUAGCGAGUUGGUAAGGUAACGGCUUACCAAGGCGACGCUCAGUAGCCGACCUGAGAGGGUGAUCGGCCACAUUGGAACUGAGACACGGUCCAAACUCCUACGGGAGGCAGCAGUGGGGAAUAUUGCACAAUGGGCGAAAGCCUGAUGCAGCAACGCCGCGUGAGCGAUGAAGGCCUUCGGGUCGUAAAGCUCUGUCCUCAAGGAGGAUAAUGACGGUACUUGAGGAGGAAGCCCCGGCUAACUACGUGCCAGCAGCCGCCGUAA